rnacentral:rRNA from 1 species
UGCAUUAGCUAGUUGGCAAGGUAAAGGGCUUACCAAGGCGAUGAUGCAUAGCCCGAGUUGAGAGACUGAUCGGGCCACAUUGGGGACUGAGACACGGGCCCAAACUCCUACGGGAGGCAGCAGUAGGGAAUCUUCCACAAUGGACGCAAGUCUGAUGGAGCAAAUGCCGCGUGAGUGAAGAAGGUUUUCGGAUCGUAAAAGCUCUGUUGUUGGUGAAGAAGGAUAGAGGUAGUAACUGGCCUUUAUUUGACGGUAAUCCAACCCGAAAGUCACGGGCUAACUACGUGCCCAGCAGCCGCGGUAAAU